rnacentral:rRNA from 1 species
ACUUAAAUUGAAGAGUUUGAUCAUGGCUCAGAUUGAACGCUGGCGGCAGGCCUAACACAUGCAAGUCGAGCGGUAGCACAGAAGAGCUUGCUCUUUGGGUGACGAGCGGCGGACGGGUGAGUAAUGUCUGGGAAACUGCCUGAUGGAGGGGGAUAACUACUGGAAACGGUAGCUAAUACCGCAUAACGUCGCAAGACCAAAGUGGGGGACCUUCGGGCCUCA